CGGAGGAUCCAAGCGUUAUCCGGAUUCAUUGGGUUUAAAGGGUGCGUAGGCGGAACGAUAAGUCAGUGGUGAAAGCCUGCAGCUUAACUGCAGAACUGCCAUUGAUACUGUCGAUCUUGAGUACAUUUGAUGAGGGCGGAAUGUGUCAUGUAGCGGUGAAAUGCUUAGAUAUGACACAGAACACCGAUUGCGAAGGCAGCUCUCAAAACUGUAAACUGACGCUGAGGCACGAAAGCGUGGGUAUCAAACAGGAUUAGAUACCCUGGUAGUCCACGCUGUAAACUAUGAUCACUCGAUGUUUGCGAUAUACUGUAAGCGUCUAAGCGAAAGCGAUAAGUGAUCCACCUGGGGAUCGACUCGCAGAGUG
rnacentral:rRNA from 1 species